UGUCUUAUGUGACUUUAACGGUAACACCCACUCCUCUUCCUUGGACACUGAAGCUGGCAUUGCCUUCAGUGACCACUUUGUCAAGCUCAUUUCCUGGUAUGACGAUGAAUUUGGCUACAACAACAGGGCGGUGAACCUUAUGGUCCACAUGGCCUCCAAGGAGUAAGAGCCCCCUGGACCACCAGCCCCAGCAGCUGAGGGUUU